rnacentral:misc_RNA from 1 species
GUACUCUCACACUUCUAAUUCGUUUUGGAUUAGGAGCGGUGGACUUGGGUGUUGCUGCUUUACUGUGGCUCAUCUCAAAUUCGUUAGUGCACCUCUUGGUUGGACAUAGUACGGCGUGAUAAGUGUCUUCGCCGGCGCCUCAUAACGAGGGUGGCCAAUUGGGAGCUCUGUGCUUCAAACCGUCUUCAGACAAUCUCUGACA